CACAUAGCUGCAGUUAGUGAAGUUGUCUAGAUGCUCUCAAAAUGGUCACAACACAGGCUUCAGUAGUGAAAAACCGCUCAUGCCCUUGCCCAUGUGUUUUAACUCUAUCUAGAAAGGAGGACCACUUUUUCAGAAACAGUUCAGAUACCAUUGCCAAAUCAAAACUGGGCUUCU
rnacentral:sRNA from 2 species